rnacentral:rRNA from 1 species
UACAGAGGGUGCAAGCGUUGUUCGGAAUUAUUGGGCGUAAAGCGCGUGUAGGCGGCUUUGCAAGUCGGGUGUGAAAGCCCUCAGCUUAACUGAGGAAGUGCGCCCGAAACUGCAUUGCUUGAGUACCGGAGAGGAUGGCGGAAUUCCCCAAGUAGAGGUGAAAUUCGUAGAUAUGGGGAGGAACACCGGUGGCGAAGGCGGCCAUCUGGACGGAUACUGACGCUGAGACGCGAAAGCGUGGGUAGCAAACGAGG